rnacentral:rRNA from 1 species
UACGGAGGGGGCAAGCGUUGUUCGGAAUUACUGGGCGUAAAGGGCGCGCAGGCGGCUGCUCAAGUCAGGCGUGAAAGCCCCGGGCUCAACCUGGGAAUUGCAUUCGAGACUGAAUAGCUAGGGUACGGUAGAGGGAAGUGGAAUUUCCGGUGUAGCGGUGAAAUGCGUAGAUAUCGGAAGGAACAUCAGUGGCGAAAGCGACUUCCUGGACCAGUACCGACGUUCAGGCACGAAAGCGUGGGGAGCAAACAGG